GUUUAAACUGGAUGCCAUUGCCUUAACCCUUUCUGCUCUUCUCUUUAUUUGAGGUCUGCCUGUGUGAAGAGGAGGUGCAGUGCACCUUGGCAGUGCAGGCUGUGGGUGUCUGACCAAUAGUGUUUUGGAGAGGAGGCAUGGCAAAGACUAAAAAUGCAGAGCAUCCAGGAUCAAAGCGUGUUUGCAAUGCGAAGAACUAUCCCCUGACAAUCAGACUGGAAGAGGAAGGGCAUUGUUUCUCUCUGCACAUGUUCAGAGAGUUGACUGCAAAAAAUGAAGAGGUUACCAAGAGACAAGGCCUAUUCUCUGUCCUCAGUGUUCCUAUAAAUUCUUGGGCUGGUGGCAUCACCAUAUCAUCAUCAUCGUCAUCAUCACAGUUGUGAUCACCAUCUGAGGCUGAUAUUUAUUCAAAUUACUUUGUACCAGGGAUCAAAGAUUUCUACCCUGUUGGAAGAAGCCACUGUUGAAGUGUGAAAGGCUACUCUGCUUUCUGCGUACAUUUAACCUUUGGCCUGCCCUAAAGAGCCAGCCAAGUGUCAAUCAGGGCUGAUUGGGCACCUGUGCCUGGAAACAGGCCAGAGAAAUUCACCUCUUCCAGGUCAUCAAACCAUCUCCAGAUGGCAAAGAACUUCUGAAGUUAUGAACUAACUUGCUUGUGAUGCGAAUUAGUGACCUAGGGUGAGAUGCUUCAUUAAUGCUUACUCUCCUGAGCCACCAAGGUGUCAAAAGUUGGACUGCUUACUCUCACAUUUAUUUUUUUGCUCUGUAAUGUGCAUUAAAAUAAUUUAUAUUCAUAGAGAUGGUUCAAUAAAUUGCAUAUGGCUAGUUAAUAAACUAGUAAAGCAGAGAAGAAAAUUAGAUUUCAUUUAGAAGAAAACAAUAUUUAGCUUUCCCCAUGGAAAUAUGUGAAAAAGCUUUAGAAAAUUCUGUUAACAUUGAGGCCUCAGAAGAGACU
rnacentral:lncRNA from 1 species